UAAUGUAUGGGGAUCUGCCCGAUAGAGGGGAAUAACUACUGGAAACGGUGGCUAAUACCGCAUAAUGUCUACGGACCAAAGCAGGGGCUCUUCGGACCUUGCACUAUCGGAUGAACCCAUAUGGGAUUAGCUAGUAGGCGGGGUAAAGGCUCACCUAGGCGACGAUCUCUAGCUGGUCUGAGAGGAUGAUCAGCCACACUGGGACUGAGACACGGCCCAG
rnacentral:rRNA from 1 species